rnacentral:lncRNA from 1 species
GGGAGCUGUAGACCGGAGCUGUUCCUAUUCGGCCAUCUUGGCUCCUCCCCCACCCCCGUAUUAUCUUAAAAAUUAGAUUGUUUUCUGCUGGUUGCUUUCUGAAAUUCUACUGGACCUAAUGCCAAAAGAUGAUCAAGAGGAGCAUGAAAAAAUCCCCUGAAUCCAUUGGCUUUCUUCCCUAUACUGACAACAGUUUACUUGUGUAAGAGAUGCAUGCCUCGACUCCGGACCCCUUCUUUCAUCUGCAAAAUCAGCAGCACCCUCACAUCAUCUCCUGUAACAAACUCUCUCUGUCUCCUCCAUAUAAGGUCACUGAUGGUUACAUUUAGGGUCCAUGAUAUAAGGCCCUCUCCAGGGUGCCUGAGUUUGUUGUUUCAUCACAGAAUUACACGGAAGAGACUGGAAAGAUAACUCUUCAAAUGUCAAAUCAUUCCCCUAUAAAAAAUUUUGCCACAGCUGUUGAAAUAUGGCCUUAGGGUUUAUGACAGAAUUUGAACCAGCCCCAUGGAAAAUGCAUCUUGACUCUGCUUUUAUUCCUUUCCCUGCUGAGCUCCUAAUAGAAGAUGGAUGUCUAUUGCUUUUCUCUUGAUAUUCAUGGCACUGCUCCUCUCCAUCCAUAGGAUUAUCUUAUAGAUGAGGGUCUCAUCCUUUUGCCCAGGCUGGAGUACAG